AGUAACACGUAAGUAAUCUACCUUCGAGUGGGGAAUAACGUCCGGAAACGGACGCUAAUACCGCAUAAUGCAGCGGCAUCAUAAGAUGACAGUUGUUAAAGGAGCAAUUCGCUUGAAGAGGAGCUUGCGGCAGAUUAGCUAGUUGGUAAGGUAAUGGCUUACCAAGGCUACGAUCUGUAACCGGUCUAAGAGGACGGUCGGUCACACUGACACUGAAUAACGGGUCAG
rnacentral:rRNA from 1 species